AUUGAACGCUGGCGGCAUGCCUUACACAUGCAAGUCGAACGGCAGCACGGGGGCAACCCUGGUGGCGAGUGGCGAACGGGUGAGUAACAUAUCGGAACAUACCCUAGAGUGGGGGAUAACGUAGCGAAAGUUACGCUAAUACCGCAUACGAUCUAAGGAUGAAAGUGGGGGAUCUUCGGACCUCAUGCUCAUGGAGAGGCCGAUAUCUGAUUAGCUAGUUGGUGAGGUAAAGGCUCACCAAGGCGACGAUCAGUAGCUGGUUUGAGAGAACGACCAGCCACACUGGAACUGAGACACGGUCCAGACUCCUACGGGAGGCAGCAGUGGGGAAUUUUGGGACAAUGGGGGCAACCCUGAUCCAGCAAUGCCGCGUGAGUGAAGAAGGCC
rnacentral:rRNA from 1 species